rnacentral:rRNA from 1 species
GACGUAGGGGGCCAGCGUUGUUCGGAAUUACUGGGCGUAAAGGGCGCGUAGGCGGCCUGCUAAGUCGAACGUGAAAUCCCUGGGCUCAACCCAGGAACUGCGUCCGAUACUGGUUGGCUUGAAUCCGGGAGAGGGACGUGGAAUUCCAGGUGUAGCGGUGAAAUGCGUAGAUAUCUGGAGGAACACCGAUGGCGAAGGCAGGUCUCUGGGCCACUACUGACGCUGAGGAGCGAAAGCGUGGGGAGCGAACAGG